ACACUUCCAUCAAACAGUACCUGCCCCUUAGGUGUGCUAGGGAAUAAAUGAAAUGCCUGGGACAUCAUCGUUAAGUGGCAUCUGAUGCAUAAGCAGUGCCCUAGGAACGGGGUUGCCUGCCUUGGUCUCUAAAGGAUGGGUUCAAAAGGCAAGAGCAGCACACAAGAAGAUAGCUUCAAGCAGGAGAAAAAGCUUGGCCCAGGGCCCAAAGGGGAUACGACCCUUCAGGUUGGCCCUGACCUCUGGGUUGGAUUACCAGUGACACAAUGAACAUUUCAUUAUGAGGCCAUCCCUUGAGCAAACUGACAUGCUGAAAGCUGCCCUAUGGAGAGGCUCAUGUGGCAAGGAACAUGGGGGUGGCUUCUGGCCAACACCCAGUGAGGAACUCAGGCCCUCAGUCAAACAGCCUGCAAGGAACUGAACCCUGCCAAUAACCCUGGGUUGAAAGCUUCCCUUUGGAGAAGAACUGAGGGCUGUCUCUGGUCAAUAGCACUGAGGAACUGAAUCCAGCAAACAAUUAUGUGAAGAAACUUGGAAGCUUGUCCUCCCCUCUAGUUGAGCUUUGAGAUGACUGCCACCCUAGCGGACACCUUGAUUGAAGCCUUAUGAGAAACCCUAAGCCAGAGAACCCAAUUAAGCUACACUUACAUUCCUAA
rnacentral:antisense_RNA from 1 species